UAUUUCCCCGCUUUCUCCGUUCUGCCGUGUACAUCUCCCUGCGUGUUGUCCCAGCCAGGAUUUUAUAACCAGUUGUUUUAGUUCAGCUCAAGAUUGUGUUACAGCGCAGCCAAAGAGCUGUCUGCAAGAAAGUAAAAAUCUUACCACGAUUCCAACCAGAGACUCUUUAUCUUUAAAAUACAGCAUUACGAAGCCUAAUGUCCUCCGGUUUUAUUAGCUAUUCUUGAGGGGUGCUUAGCUGGCAAGUGCAGCAUCUGCCACCGGCUCGUCACGGCUUUAACAGCCGGAGUGCAAACUUCCCAGCCUGCGCACAAAUAACAUUUUACGGGGCCUGACGGCUGGUGGUGGUGGUGGGUUUUGCUGUUCCCAGGCUGCCGGUUCCUCCGGGACCCAAGCGCUGCAGCCGUGUGCAGGAUGCGACCCUUUUCUGAGCAAAAGGGAAGAUGGGACCUCGGUCCCCGUGGAGAGCAGCGGUCCCUGCCCCUCUCCGGUAAACCAUCCUUUUUCAAGGUAAACCAUCCUUUUUACCCUCUUCUAGCUCACGACAGGCAAGGGAAAAGGAGGGGCUGCUGUGGUGGUUCAGAGACAAUUCUUCACGUGUGUCCAGCAGGUAUAAACCUGGCAUUGGAGCCUGCUCGUGCGGAGGGGACCGUGCAUAGCCAGUGACAUUAAUUCACCAUGAGGGGAAAAUUCCAGCGUAAGUGGUCUCUACUGUGUAUAAAACACUCAGUAUCGGUGACAUUUGCCUCUUCUCUUAGUGAUAAAAUACAUUUAUUUGUGAAGUAGAUCUUAAUCUAUCUCAGAAAAGUGUUUUUAGUUUUUCACAGUAGCAUUUAUAAUGAUUGAAAGUGUAGGCUAGAGAGGACAUCUUUCUGUAGCAACGAACAAAAAUAAGAAUAACUUUUCAGCAUUACCGUAUAUCAAUAGCCAAUUAUUUUUGUAUGGAUGGGUUCUGGCUGGCUGGUAAUGGACUGACAAUGAGAUAAGUCUUCCAGGAGAGAAACCAUCAUUUUAAAGAUGGAGUGGCUGGCCUUUUAAUUUUAAGGUAUUACCAAAAUCACACCUUUCACCUUUAAAAAUUGUAAAUGAUCAGAGUCUUGUUCUAAAUCAUUUAAUUGCUGUUUGAAGUGAGCCUGGCGCAUGCUUUGCAGGGGUUUGUCUUUCUUAGCACUGAUGGUGUCAUUUACAUUUCUUAAUUUUUCUUGAAGAACGACAUCCUCCUUGCUUGUACUCUCCCUCCCAGCCUGCUUGCUGGCCAUCUGUCUGCAGAGGCAAUUUAAGGAAUCUGUAGCCAAUUCACCCUUGCUCAUAUGUAUUUCUUGAACUUGAUAUACAGCGUAGAUAUGCACAGGCGUAAAGUAAAACCUAUUAAGCGAUGAGAUAAAACACCAAGAUGCUUUAGAAAACUUUUUCAAAUGUUUCAGAUGAGGCAGGCUCACAUUUCUUGCUGGUUUUUCUUCUGCUUUGGUGCAUAUUUUUUCAUCGUCACCUGUUCCAUUCGUCUGCCUCUUUCUCUCUGACACGGGGAGUUUUGACGACGUGGAUUAGGAGUCCCGUACCUCUGACCGACUGCCUACUUCUCUGCUGUGCAGCCUGCGUCAUAACAGCUCUGCUAAAGCUCCUCACUUUAAACUUCCUCUUGAAAACAAGCUUGAAAGAAAGAAUCGCCAUAUGCUCCAGAAUGUGCACCAAGACUUUCCUAUGACUCCACUGUACGUGCAAAUAGCCGAGGAGCUUGGGGUAAAAUCUAAACACCUUAUUAUUAUCCGUGCCCAUGGAUCAAAGUGCUUUCUCGUCUUCAGAUAAACACUGUCCACUGGCUUUGAUGAUCUCUCCUGUGCAGCUGGGAGAAGAGACCAACAAUAUAUCCAGAGAUGGGUAAAUUGAGGAAAACAGGUGCCAUUCCCAAAGCCGCAAGUUCGGUCAAUGGCCAUGGGACCCAUUCACGCCGGUCCCGCCGUUAGCCCUACAGUCGGCCUUGCACAUCUGGUUUCCCAGAGCAAUGGAGAUGGAGGGAGCUGCUGAAAGUCGCCACGUCUAUUUUAAUUCAGCUACAAAGGCAGGGCUGAAGCGCUGCCAUCCAGCAUCCAGCAUUUGCAGGCACUUACCGAACAGAGCAAUCAUUUACUAAAACAUGAUGAAGACGGAGAAGGACGGGUCACCAAGGGCAGCAACUACCUAGAUGUGGGCCUCGACCCAUUUUGACCACCCGAAGGACGUGCCACUGCUGCGGAGGCUCGUCCAUAGACAUCCCAGCUGGUAAAGACGUGGGAGAAUGGCACCCGCAGAAAACUCCUGCGUGUCUGCAGCUCUUGACCUUGGCCCUCUCCAUUUGCUGCAUCUUGAAUGGAGUGUUGCGGUUAGAAAAGUUCAAGUCUGAGCUCCAUGUCAGCUUUUCAGAGCAGCCUCUCGGUGUGCUAAUGCUGUACGCUGAGAGCAGGCUUUAAAUAUGUGUGUGUUUGUAUGAAGAUGACCACAUUAAAUUUAAGUAGAAGUAAAUGGUAAUUUAACUGGCACAGAUACACAAGGCUGACAUAAUCUCUGAGGGUUUGAGGCUGCUAUUAAAUUUGUUCCUCCUUAUUAAUUUGUGACCAAGAGGAUAAUGAAAAACUGGCAACUCUAAAGUUGACAUAAAAAGUAAGAGAUAUACAGUUGGCAUGGAUAAUUUUAUGCGCUGUCAGAGUAAAAAGGCUUUGCUAAAUGUAUGUAGACAAAGAUACACACUGUCAUCUUAAUGAGCAAUUAAAAGAUGGACUCCUAAUAAUUGAAUCGUGA